CGCAAUCAAUUGGCUUUUAAUUGAAGCCAUGUAUGAAUGGAAUCACGGGGUUUAGCUGUCUCUUAAUUAAUUUAUCGAAGUUACUAUUUAGGUGAAAAAGCCUAAAAGAAGAAAAAGGACGAGAAGACCCUUAGAGUUUUUCUAAAUCUAGGAUUGUUCCUAAGACAGUUUGGUUGGGGCAACAUAGGAGCAUAUUAAACCUCCUGUAAUAUACUUACCGAUAAUAAUAAAUAUGAAUAAACUACCUUAGGGAUAACAGCAUAAUUUUAUAAAUAAGUUUGUGACCU
rnacentral:rRNA from 1 species